rnacentral:misc_RNA from 1 species
GAUGAAGACCGUAGCGAAAUGCGAUAAGUAAUGUGAAUUGCAGAAUUCAGUGAAUCAUCGAAUCUUUGAACGCACAUUGCGCCCGCCAGUAUUCUGGCGGGCAUGCCUGUCCGAGCGUCAUUUCAACCCUCGAACCCCUCCGGGGGGUCGGCGUUGGGGACCUCGGGAGCCCCUAAGACGGGAUCCCGGCCCCGAAAUACAGUGGCGGUCUCGCCGCAGCCUCUCCUGCGCAGUAGUUUGCACAACUCGCACCGGGAGCGCGGCGCGUCCACGUCCGUAAAACACCCAACUUCUGAAAUGUUGACCUCGGAUCAGGUAGGAAUACCCGCUGAACUUAAGCAUAUCAAUAAGCGGAGGA